AUUAGUUGAUGGGAUACAUAGUAAAAAUAUUUUUUUCUUUUACUCUGUAAUUUAUAAAUAUAAUUUUUUUUUUUGCUAAGAUGUAUAAUAUCUAUGGUGCAAAGAUGUGGCUUACUUAACCGUGGGCUUAAUCAGUUUUGAUCUGGAUUCUUGUGAUGCAACCUAAACAAACAGCAAACUCUAAAUUCCUGGCCUGUAUUUUGCAACUUGUAAUUAAGAGGAAUUAAAAACCCACAACGAAUGAAAAGCAGCAGUCCAAUCUGCCAUCUAUACUGGUAUGGCUGGAAUGCUGGCAGAGAGGAGAUUUGGACAGGCAUUCGUCUGAAUAAUGAGGUAGAAGAGCUAACCCAGUCCUGAUCCCUAAAUCAAGUUAAAGGAAAC